rnacentral:rRNA from 1 species
CAGCCGCCGCGGUAAUACGUAGGGUGCAAGCGUUCAUCGGAAUUACUGGGCGUAAAGCGUGCGCAGGCGGUUCGGAAAGAAAGAUGUGAAAUCCCAGCGCUUAACUUUGGAACUGCAUUUUUAACUACCGGGCUAGAGUGUGUCAGAGGGAGGUGGAAUUCCGCGUGUAGCAGUGAAAUGCGUAGAUAUGCGGAGGAACACCGAUGGCGAAGGCAGCCUCCUGGGAUAACACUGACGCUCAUGCACGAAAGCGUGGGGAGCAAACAGGAUUAGAUACCCUGGUAGUCCACGCCCUAAACGAUGUCAACUAGCUGUUGGGGCCUUCGGGCCUUGGUAGCGCAGCUAACGCGUGAAGUUGACCGCCUGGGGAGUACGGUCGCAAGAUUAAAACUUAAAGGAAUUGGCGGG